UUCCACUGCCAACAUAAAAAAAGUGGUAUUAGAGAUAUCAACUUAGAGUACAUCAUACAUGAAUUAAUGACUUGAUAAAUUUUACCAAUGAGGAAGCUUAUAUGUCUAAGGCAAUCAAAACACGUUGGAUUAGCAGAGAAGAAAAUUGCAAUGCAUGAGAAAUGAAGAAAUAUCUUUAUGAUCGUGUUCUUUGAUGGAAGAAGACAAAAACAUGGAAAUCAAUGUGGGUCAGCAAAGCUGGCUGCAUAAUCAGGAUGCUGCAGGGUGGCAGUUUCUGUGCUAUAUCCUCCGGUCAAAGGCUCCCUCUCACAGACGAAAGGUUGCAACCUCUGGCUUUAAGCUAAAUCCUUCCAUCAGAUCCACAAUGAAGAUAUCUGGAAAGCUGCUUAAAUGAAGUGCUGUCUGUCCGGAAAGCAGAAGUUAUAAUCCUUGGAAUCCUUUGGUGUUUCGUGUUCUCCAUCAUUAUUGGCAUGUUGGGCCCGACUGCAUGGAAAUGAGUUGAACCUCAGCAAAAGGAUCUUGAAGAAAUGUUGACCAUGAAAUUUCAACUAGGAAGAGGUAGCAAGAAAUGGCAAUGACAAAAGAUGAAGGAACCAAGGAUGGAGGUUGGCUGAAGAUGUAUUAAGAUGACUCAUGACCAUGGUCAAGACUCACAACCCAGAUGUGGCUUUCUUCUCCAAGCUAUUGGUGCCUUGCAACUUAUCCCACAGCCACCUCAAAUAUGUUGCACCAUUUCCCACCUUCGUUCUUUCCAGUCCCAUCUGCUUGGAAUAACCUUCCACACAGCGUUGACCUCGAAAACUCAUCUUCAUCCUUACAAAAUUUGUCCUGCCAUCAGUGUAUAUCUAGCUUCUUUCCAAGCCAACUGUCCCCUUCACCAUGGAUGCAGAAUUUAUCACUUGCUCCUCAGUGUAAACUAUGUAAAUAUCUUUGUUACUCAUGUUUAACUCAUUUCCCUGUAGCCUCUUUAUUUGUGUAUAGCCCUAUUUCUCUUAUGUAAUUUUUGUACCAGGGUCCAUGCUCUCAGAUCAUUUGAUCCACUCUGCCUAUCACAGUACCUGAGUCAAUUUAAAUGUUCAAUUACCAAUGACUGAAUGUUAAUGGUCCAGAGGACUUAAAAACAAUUUUGAACAUGAUGCUUUAUCCUCAGCACAAACUGAGAGUCAGAGAAUUUUGCUUAUACCCUCUCACCAAUUGAUAUUCAUCUGAGAAAGAAAUCUGAUUUAGAUU